AAAACAAAACAUGACUAGCAGCAGAAGCCAAAAAGGUGGUCUCGUUAAAUGUUGCAGUGUAUGGCAACUCUAGGCAAAUGAACUGUUUUACCUGCACACAUACAAGCGUAUGUAUAGUCAACACAACGGAUAAUUUAGUGGAAUUUUCGAAAAUAGCAAAGGAAAGGCAGCCAUAAUCCUCCAGAGCAGCAGCCGCAGAGGCAGCGCCAAGAGCAACAACGACGCAAGCAGGCAUAAUAAUCAAAGAUUAAAUCAGGUUUAUAUGGAAGGGUUAAAAAGAGCAAAAACAGCCUGUCACAGGAAGAAAUACACGUUUCCUAGUCGCUGAGGCACGUCUACAA